AACUAGGCGAGGGGAGCGACCCCACCUCGAAAAUUCUGAUUGAAGGACAGGACCUGCCGGUAUUGGUCCCUUCAAGGCACUUAUUUCCUCUUCCCUAACAUGCUUAUAACCACAAGCUACUGCUAUUCCUGAGUUGGGAACGGGUACAAGCCAAGCUGUAUGUGACUCGAAGCCAUUAUCGAUCGAUUGUUGGGUAUAUAACACCAUGCCAGUUUCCAGUGUUUCAGACUUCCUGUGGACAUUGAUCCUGUGCAACACCACCGACAGGAGGCAGCGGUGGACAUUGCUCGAGGAGCGCCAGUGUAGUGCCAACCCCUGGUGGGAGAAUGACGGACCUGCCCGAGGAAGGAGGCCACACGGUAGUAACAAGACUGAACGGACAUACCGUCUCGCGAAUCUUGGGGCCCCAGGGAUAUCUGGAAUUGAGCAUCGAGUUAGUUGGCCGAUGCCUCCUCGCCACCCCAAACAGGGCCCUCUUUGUUCUUGGCACGCCAGAGGGGAUAUAAGGCAGUGCAUGCUGUCAGGAGGGUGCAGUGCGAUCACUCCAUGUCCUCUGGCCGCCAGGAAUUGUUCUCUGGGUAAGGCCCCUGUGCACCACUCUAAAUAAACCGUCAACCUGGA